rnacentral:ncRNA from 1 species
GUAUAUUUUUCUAUGCUGGGUCCCUUGCCCAACUCGCAUUGCUCUUUGAAACUGUUUCACAGUUUCUCUAUGUUGGGUCCCUUGCCCAACUCGCAUUGCUUGUUGAAACUGUUUCACAGUUUCUCUGUGUUGGGUCCCUACCUCAGGAGUCUUGGCUUUAAAAUAAUUUUUGUUUUAAAUUAAUCACUUUUUAUUUAUCAGUAAUAAAAAAUAGAGAACCUUUUUUAU